ACACUAAGAGAAGGGAGGGAAAAAUACGUAGUUAUGAUGCUGACUUUUAAGAAAAAGAGUAUGAUAAAUGUACCUCAAUCCCUUUUUCAUGAGAUUUUCCUGAGAAGAGUGAUGAAACAUUAUCAAGCUCAGCACGGAGAUCAAAAGGAACAGCCUCCAGCUCAAGCCUUCCCGAUUCAAUCUUAGCUUGAUCCAGCACCUCAUUAAUCAAUGAUAUCAGAUCUUUCCCACUAUUAUGAGCAGUUUGUGCAUAAUCCAGUUGCAUUGGGUCAAGGUUGGUGUCCAUGAGCAUUUGAAGCAUGCCUGUACAUGUUGAAUAAAUUAUUAUCAAUAUAUGACUACAUAUGUAAUUAGAAUCUCCCUUUUCCAUAUUUUCUUCCCUCCCAGUCUCCCUUUCUGUUAAUCAAGUGCAAAGUUGUAAAAUUACAGUAUGAGCACUUCUUUAAGUAGGGCAUUAGGAUUCUUAUACUCCAACUUGAGGGGGUAGUAAGCGCAGACAUGGUAAUUAUGUAUAUUGUGAUAAUGAUAGGCCUAAUAGGUUAGGGUUAGUAUUGUGGACCUAGUAGGUUAGGGCUAGCUAAUCUCUAAUGAGAAGGCAGAAAAAACUCUCCCAAAUUUUUGAUAAUGAAUUGAUAGAAAAUUCUCCCAAACUAUUGCAUUCCUUAUGGUUCUUCGGUUCUUCUGAAUUUAGCAAGCAAUGACUAACAGAUGAUCUUCCUUAAAAUUUGCAUUUUAAGUAGUACAGAAUGAAUAAACAGAUCUUCUGCUUCCUUCAUUGAACAAGUAUGAUUUCUAAUCAUUUAAAACAUUCAAUUUUAGGUACUGAAAAUUGAUGCAUUAUCAAACAGCCCCUACUCUUUCUUGUAGAGCCAACAUCAGAGAAAGUAAACCGACCUUAAUUGAGUUUCCAACUAGAUUCGUAAUUAUCUGCCGGAACCGUCCUGGAUCUCCAAUAACAACUUCUGGGACUAAAUCAGAUACAUAAACAGCCAACUGUUUCCACAAAAAUAACACAAAAUACAAGGUAUCAUGAACUAGCUAGAGGAAUGACAGUAAGAAAAGAGAGAGAGAGAGAGAGAGAGAACACUAAGAGAAGGGAGGGAAAAAUACGUAGUUAUGAUGCUGACUUUUAAGAAAAAGAGUAUGAUAAAUGUACCUCAAUCCCUUUUUCAUGAGAUUUUCCUGAGAAGAGUGAUGAAACAUUAUCAAGCUCAGCACGGAGAUCAAAAGGAACAGCCUCCAGCUCAAGCCUUCCCGAUUCAAUCUUAGCUUGAUCCAGCACCUCAUUAAUCAAUGAUAUCAGAUCUUUCCCACUAUUAUGAGCAGUUUGUGCAUAAUCCAGUUGCAUUGGGUCAAGGUUGGUGUCCAUGAGCAUUUGAAGCAUGCCUGUACAUGUUGAAUAAAUUAUUAUCAAUAUAUGACUACAUAUGUAAUUAGAAUCUCCCUUUUCCAUAUUUUCUUCCCUCCCAGUCUCCCUUUCUGUUAAUCAAGUGCAAAGUUGUAAA
rnacentral:lncRNA from 1 species